rnacentral:lncRNA from 1 species
GAAUGUUGUCCAUGGCCAAUCUGCAGGCCUCUGACUCCUGCCUGCAGACCACAUGGGGCACUGGCCAGGCCAAGGGGGGUUCCCUGGCAGCCCAUGGCGCCCGGAAGAAUGGUGGUAGCAGCAAAGGGACAGGCAAGCGCCUACUGAAGAGGACUGCCAAGAACAGCGUGGAUCUUGAGGACUAUGAGGAGCAGGACCACCUGGACGCCUGCUUCAAGGACUCAGACUAUGGUGAGUGUGGCUGCAGGGCGGGGCUGCCGCCUGUAGGGGGCAGCACUGACUAGGAACACGCCAAGGAGGCCUGCCAGCUACAGUCUGGACUGUCAAAUCCAUCUUGGGCUGGGGUGUGGUGGUGCACGCCUUUAACCCCAGCACUCUGGAGGCACAGACAAGGUGAGAAUCUCUGUUCUGUGUUCUGGGCCAGCCUGGUCCACAUAGUAAGUUCCAGGCUAGCCCGAGCUAUAUAGUGAAACCUUAUCUCAAACAGAACAAAACAAAGCACUAUCCUUUGGAAGCCUGUCGUUUUGUGACCUGGGUAACUACCACUCGGUUCCAUUUCAGAAUAUCCUUCUCAUAAGGAAACUUCGUCCCCAUCCACAGUUUGUCCCUCUCCAUCCCUGGCCACUUGUCAGGUCCCUGUGGACACAUCAUCUAAAUGGAUCAUAUAACGUGUGACUUUUGGGCCUAGUGCUCAGGGGUGACUCCAGGGCCUUCCUGAUAGCCAGGUUUACUGGUCUCC